rnacentral:rRNA from 1 species
GAUGAACGCUGGCGGUAUGCUUAACACAUGCAAGUCGAACGGACUCUUCGGAGUUAGUGGCGGACGGGUGAGUAACGCGUGAGAAUCUGGCUUUGGGUUCGGGACAACCACUGGAAACGGUGGCUAAUACCGGAUGUGCCGAGAGGUAAAAGAGAAAUUGCCUGAAGAUGAGCUCGCGUCUGAUUAGCUAGUUGGUGAGGUAAAGGCUCACCAAGGCAGCGAUCAGUAGCUGGUCUGAGAGGAUGACCAGCCACACUGGGACUGAGACACGGCCCAGACUCCUACGGGAGGAGGCAGUGGGGAAUUUUCCGCAAUGGGCGAAAGCCUGACGGAGCAAUACCGCGUGAGGGAAGAAGGCUCUUGGGUUGUAAACCUCUUUUCUUAGGGAAGAACAAAAUGACGGUACCUAAGGAAUCAGCAUCGGCUAACCCCGUG